CCUACGGGAGGCAGCAGUGGGGAAUCUUGCGCAAUGGACGAAAGUCUGACGCAGCCAUGCCGCGUGAAUGAUGAAGGUCUUAGGAUUGUAAAGUUCUUUAGCCUGUGACGAUGAUGACGGUAACAGGAGAAUAAGCCCCGGCUAACUUCGUGCCAGCAGCCGCGGUAAUACGAAGGGGGCUAGCGUUGUUCGGAAUUACUGGGCGUAAAGCGCGCGUAGGCGGUUAUGCAAGCCAGAGGUGAAAUGCCUGAGCUCAACUUAGGAAUUGCCUUUGGAACUGCAUGGCUUUGAGGACGAGAGAGGUGAGUGGAAUUCCCAGUGUAGAGGUGAAAUUCGUAGAUAUUGGGAAGAACACCGGUGGCGAAGGCGGCUCACUGGCUCGUUUCUGACGCUGUAGCGCGAAAGCGUGGGGAUCAAACAGGAUUAGAUACCCUGGUAGUCCACGCUGUAAACGAUGAGUGCUAGGCGUUGGCACGCUUGCGUGUCAGUGCGCNGCACGCGNGAGCACNCCGCCGUCGGGAGGUACGGUCGCGAGAGUAAACGUACGAAGAAGUAGACGCGNGAGAGNGCGACGCGACGACGAGGGAGGAGG
rnacentral:rRNA from 1 species